AAUUCUAAAAUCAAAAGUCACGCAAAUUAAUACAUCAAGAUCCUUCAUUUAUCUCCUCUCGUACCCUUUCACUUCAAUAUUUCCAAGAAAGAAAAAAAAGAUUUGUGAGAGAGAGAAAUAACCGAGAGAGAGCCGAGAGAAGGGGGAGGAGGAAGAAAUUGCGUCCAUUUUGUUUCAACACCCAAGUUUACGUCGCAAGGUGGUUCGCACGCUCGUUAAAGUCGGAUCGAGAAGUUAUAAAAGGAAAUUUCUAAGCUAGUGAGAUGGGCUCUAUUACUUAAACGCUUUUAUUUGCAAUGAUAUGUAUAUGUUGAGAUA